AUUGAACGCUGGCGGCAGGCCUAACACAUGCAAGUCGAGCGGAUGAAGGGAGCUUGCUCCUGGAUUCAGCGGCGGACGGGUGAGUAAUGCCUAGGAAUCUGCCUGGUAGUGGGGGAUAACGUCCGGAAACGGGCGCUAAUACCGCAUACGUCCUGAGGGAGAAAGUGGGGGAUCUUCGGACCUCACGCUAUCAGAUGAGCCUAGGUCGGAUUAGCUAGUUGGUGGGGUAAAGGCCUACCAAGGCGACGAUCCGUAACUGGUCUGAGAGGAUGAUCAGUCACACUGGAACUGAGACACGGUCCACUCCUACGGGAGGCAGCAGUGGGGAAUAUUGGACAAUGGGCGAAAGCCUGAUCCAGCCAUGCCGCGUGUGUGAAGAAGGUCUUCGGAUUGUAAAGCACUUUAAGUUGGGAGGAAGGGCAGUAAGUUAAUACCUUGCUGUCUUGACGUUACCAACAGAAUAAGCACCGGCUAACUUCGUG
rnacentral:rRNA from 1 species